GCUUCUCGUCUCCUUCUGCCCAAUGGUAAGACCAUGUACCCAAGAGUAUAAACACCAUAGGCCUGGAUCUUCCAAGAACAGAGCUCCCUGCCGACCUCUAAAUUGAUCGUAAUGCUAUUUGUUGCUGAGGUUACCAUAUACCCGAGUCACAGAACAGGAAGAAAUCAAGUGGAUACUGACCUAGAAGCUUCAUCCAUCCUUGAUAACUUUCAUAAUGUUGAAAGCAGACCACCCAAGAGAAGAACAGUCUCAACCACCUUCAAGAUUUGUAAUCACUGUAGAAAGAGGUACCAACAUGCAUGCCACUUUUACUGAGUUU